rnacentral:rRNA from 1 species
AUUGAACGCUGGCGGCAUGCCUUACACAUGCAAGUCGAACGGCAGCGCGGACUUCGGUCUGGCGGCGAGUGGCGAACGGGUGAGUAAUGUAUCGGAACGUACCUUUCAGUGGGGGAUAACGUAGCGAAAGUUACGCUAAUACCGCAUAUUCUGUGAGCAGGAAAGCAGGGGAUCGCAAGACCUUGCGCUGAUUGAGCGGCCGAUAUCAGAUUAGCUAGUUGGUGAGGUAAAGGCUCACCAAGGCGACGAUCUGUAGCGGGUCUGAGAGGAUGAUCCGCCACACUGGAACUGAGACACGGUCCAGACUCCUACGGGAGGCAGCAGUGGGGAAUAUUGGACAAUGGGGGCAACCCUGAUCCAGCCAUGCCGCGUGAGUGAAGAAGGCCUUCGGGUUGUAAAGCUCUUUCGGCCGGGAAGAAAUCGUACGGGUUAAUACCCUGUGCGGAUGACGGUACCGGCAUAAGAAGCACCGGCUAACUACGUGCCAGCAGCCGCCGUAA